rnacentral:rRNA from 1 species
AUGGGGCUGUGCUCGUGCUGCUGCCGGUGCCUGGAGAUCCUGUGCGCCAUCCUCCUCCCGCCCCUCGGCGUCUGCCUCCGCCACGGCUGCUGCUCCAUGGAGUUCUGGAUCAGCGUGCUGCUCACCAUCCUCGGCUACCUCCCCGGCGUCCUCUACGCCGCCUACGUCAUCUGCUCCGUCGACCCCGACCGCGUCCGCCGCCGCGACGACGACUACAUCUACGUCGCCUGA